ACAUAAUAAUCCUUCAUUAUCCUGCAGGGAUUGAAGUGGCCUCUGCUGACUGAUUUUUAGAGCUUUGCUAUAGUUAGAAAUACAGUAUGUACAGCUUGAGAAAUUUUCAGCGAUUACUUUUGAGCUAUAAAUGACUACAAUUGAUGUUGUUCUGAUGAAGACUUCCAAAAGGAAGUCACUUUAUACAUAUAAAGAGCUAGAAAGGCUUUCAAUGCGUAUUGCCAGAUAUAUGAGUCACUCAGCAAACUGUCUUCUAAUGAUUGAUGUGACAUCUGAGUAAAUUACCAUGCUAACAUGUCAGUUUAUGCUUCAAGUCCAUAGCAUCUAUGACUGUCCAUUAGGUCAGGUUUAAAACUGAAGUGCCACAAUGAAGUACGGAAGAAACAGUCUUCAAAAUGGUCUCAUUUCAAGGAGGAGGUGAAAUGAUAUCACAUUAGUUGAGUUUGGAACAUUUUGACUAAAAAAGCAUCCAUCUUUGAGAAAAAGGAUCAGCUCCUCUUGAUGGUGCCAUCUGGACUCAGUGUUGUCUGAACAUUCACACCAGUGAACUGCUGCAGUUUCUUUCUUCUCCUGUGCUUACAGACAUGCUUUUAUGGGGAAUUGUGUUACUUACAUUCACUUUAUAAUUGACAGGUUUACAUUUCCUCUCUACAUGGUUGUAGACAGGUGAAGAAGUCUUAGUGUAAUUCUACUUAUAAACCACAUUUGAAAUCAAGAUUAGAGGGUGUUCGGAUUGCUAACUCAAAUAGACAGAUAACAACAAAUUGCUGUUAAUUGCAUAUUGCAACAUGCAAAUAUUGCAAUUUAUCCAAAAUGGAGCAAAACAGCCUAAGAACCCCUAGCUUCAUGCUGAUGACCUGAACCAAUCUCUUCACUCUUCGUACACGUUUUGACUUUGGCUUACAUACAGGCAUCCACAUUUCAAGAAAUACAGUAAACUUUCUUGCUUCUCCUAAUAUGUGUUGAGCUGUCUAGUUAUGCAUAAAAUGUACCAGAUUGCUUCUUAUUUGGAAAAACUUAUUUCUUUUCUAUGUUCCUACAGGCCUAUAUAUUAUCAACACUAUUACUGGUUAAAAAAAAAUAGUUUACCUGAAAUAAAGAACUUUCACUGUAAUGCACAGUGUGUUUACAGAUUUGAUAGGCAGGGCAUGGGCAAUGGUCAGAAAUGAAGACUCUGAGGUUGAGCAAGAGCAUAACUGAGUUAUAACUAGUUUGUUCAAUUUUCAUGUUAAUAUUAUUAACAUAGAAGGUAUCAUCCACAGCAGGGAUCAUAAUUUGAAUGGGAAGGGAAUGUGUUACUAAUAUAAUAUCAGAGGCUUGACAAAAAAGGAUAAUCUUUGUUCUGCACUUAGAAAAACAAUUUCAGGAGAUUGUUCACAUGAGUUAAAUACUGAAAGGAACAGGUCAUUUUAUUUUUGGCUCAUAUUUGUUUUUAAUGCUCAGUAUUUUCUUGAUAAUAGAUCAUUCUUUAAUACUUUUUUUGUUGAACUUUUUUUUCUUGAAAACUAAAUUCUCUCAUUUCCCUUUCAUGAUGGCAUACCUCUGUUUUCCAAUUUUGUUUAAUUAUUUCAAUUUAUUUAGUAUCGGGUUAGUAACAGUAGUUUAUUUAGUAACAGGGGCUGUUUUUCUAGCCCUCUUGUAAGUGUUAUCAUUGCAGAUUUAAGUUAAUUUUUGGUAGCCUUAUAGCUUUUAAGUAUGUACUUUGUACAGUAUAAUAUGAUACAGAAACAUAUUUGUAUGACAUUAUAAUACUAUAGGUAAAAACAGUCAGCAUACAUAACUUCCAGAAAAUAAAAGAGUUGCUACCUU
rnacentral:lncRNA from 7 species